UCCCUGGUGGUCCAGUGGCUAAGACUCUGCGCUCUCAAUGCUGGGGGCACGGGUUCCAUCCCUGAUCAGGGAA
rnacentral:tRNA from 1 species